CAGUAGCCGCGGUAAUACGUAGGGUGCGAGCGUUAAUCGGAAUUACUGGGCGUAAAGCGUGCGCAGGCGGUUGUGUAAGACAGAUGUGAAAUCCCCGGGCUCAACCUGGGAACUGCAUUUGUGACUGGCAAGCUAGAGUGUGGCAGAGGGGGGUGGAAUUCCGCGUGUAGCAGUGAAAUGCGUAGAUAUGCGGAGGAACACCGAUGGCGAAGGCAGCCCCCUGGGCCAAUACUGACGCUCAUGCACGAAAGCGUGGGGAGCAAACAGGAUUAGAUCCCGGGUAGUCCCUGUCUCUUAUACC
rnacentral:rRNA from 1 species